GUCAACACAGGCCCCGCAGUUUUGGAGUAUGAAGGCUUCAUGUUCCGAAACUGAUCAUAGAAGUCCGAUGAUUCGAUAUCUUUAGAGCCAAUGACGUCUGGUUGCAAUAUUCAAAGCACCAUCGACUCCUCUUGAAAUAUAAAGAACUCCAUGACUCCUCUUGAAAUAUAAAGAACUCCAUCAGCUUGAUGUCUUGAUCCCACUCUGAGCCGAUGAAUCUGUUGGCAAUGGAAACAAAAGAUCAAGUAUGUUGACACCAAAACUUG
rnacentral:lncRNA from 1 species